rnacentral:rRNA from 1 species
GAUGAACGCUGGCGGCGUGCUUAACACAUGCAAGUCGAACGAUGGAGCCGGAGCUUGCUCUGGUGAAUUAGUGGCGAACGGGUGAGUAACACGUGAGUAACCUGCCCUUGACUCUGGGAUAACUGCGGGAAACUGUAGCUAAUACCGGAUACGACCCUCGGAGGCAUCUCCUGGGGGUGGAAAGAAUUUCGGUCAAGGAUGGACUCGCGGCCUAUCAGCUAGUUGGUGAGGUAAUGGCUCACCAAGGCGACGACGGGUAGCCGGCCUGAGAGGGUGACCGGCCACACUGGGACUGAGACACGGCCCAGACUCCUACGGGAGGCAGCAGUGGGGAAUAUUGCACAAUGGGCGCAAGCCUGAUGCAGCAACGCCGCGUGAGGGAUGACGGCCUUCGGGUUGUAAGCCUCUUUUAGCAGGGAAGAAGCGAAAGUGACGGUACCUGCAGAAAAAGCACCGGCUAACUACGUGCCAGCAGCCGCCGUAA